CUCUCUGUAGCUCAGUUGGUUAGAGCUCGACAACUGGCCUCUGUAACUCAGUUGGUUAUAGAGCGACUCGCAAGGGCCGCAUGCAGGUUCAACUCCUGCCAGAGAGU